GUUGGGCAAGUGAUGAAUCUCAUUCUAAAAAAUGGGUAAUUUGCGUCUGAAAUCUUUCAUUGAUGUUUUAUCACCUUGGACCUUGGAGAACUGAUGCCCUCU